rnacentral:rRNA from 1 species
GUGUCAGCAGCCGCGGUAAUACGUAGGGGGCGAGCGUUGUCCGAAGUUACUGGGCGUAAAGAGCGCGUAGGCGGGCUUCUAAGUGAGAGGUGAAAGGUUCGGGCUCAACCCGGAGAGUGCCUUUCAUACUGGGAGCCUUGAGUGCGGGAGAGGCAAGUGGAAUGGUCGGUGUAGCGGUGAAAUGCGUAGAUAUCGAUCGGAACACCCGUGGCGAAGGCGGCUUGCUGGCUCGCAACUGACGCUGAGGCGCGAAAGCGUGGGGAGCAAACAGGAUUAGAUACCCUGGUAGUCC